UUAAAUUGAAGAGUUUGAUCAUGGCUCAGAUUGAACGCUGGCGGCAGGCCUAACACAUGCAAGUCGAGCGGAAACGAGUUAUCAGAACCUUCGGGGGACAAUA
rnacentral:rRNA from 1 species